GCCUACGGGGGGCAGCAGUGGGGAAUAUUGCGCAAUGGGCGAAAGCCUGACGCAGCGACGCCGCGUGAGGGAUGAAGGUCUUCGGAUCGUAAACCUCUGUCAGCAAGGAAGAACGGUCACUGUGCUAAUCAGCAGUGAAUUGACGGUACCUGCAAAGGAAGCACCGGCUAACUCCGUGCCAGCAGCCGCGGUAAUACGGAGGGUGCGAGCGUUAAUCGGAAUUACUGGGCGUAAAGCGCUCGUAGGCGGUAUGUCAAGUCAAGGGUGAAGUCCCCGCGCUCAACGUGGGAACUGCCUUUGAAACU
rnacentral:rRNA from 1 species